rnacentral:lncRNA from 1 species
GUGUAAGUGCUGGGUUCAGAGGUGGAGGAAACCGAGAGGCAGAAUUGUUUGUAUUUUGUGUUGCAAGUGGUGUAGGUGAGGACAGAGGAAAGGGGGAAUUUGGGUUUUAUAGGAGACGUGGGAAUUGAGGUAGCUGCAUCAGUAAGAUUGCAAUGGUAAUGGCUCAAGUAAUGAGGUUUUUUGGUUUGUGUCAUACCCCGAUUUUGACCCUGAAUUUUUUUUAUUUUGUUUGGCACUUGGCCUAAAGUUCAUUUGCAUACAUUCAUUCCC